CAAGGGCGUGGGCCUGCCGAGAGUACCUGACAGGUAACCAGCCCCAGCCCGGCGCCCGCUGCCGCCCCGAAACCGCUGUGUGUUGACCGCUCCGCAGGGCCCGCCCGGGAUUCGGCUCCCGCCGGCGAGGGGCCUUCCGAGACCUGGGGCUGCGGGUCCGGCCCCCUCAUCCGGAGGAAGUAGGUCUGAACCCGCGUUUCUAAUGAGCUCCCAGGUGAUGCCGAGGGUGCUGAUCCGAGACCACACCUUGAAGGAGCGCGGCGUGAGGAAGCCUUUCCACGUAGAGGACUGUGCCCUUUCCCUAACUUUGCUGCCUGCUCUCAUUCAGUUCAGGAUCUGAUGGAAGCAGGGCAAGGGGGUGCGCGCCCCUGCAGAAGGAUUGCAGUGCGGGGUGGACUCCCGCCGCGUGCCCGGCCGCGCACCUGCCUAAGAUGUCACACCUCCAACCAGACAAACCAGCCCCACCGAGCCCAUAGCUGACACUCCAGAACCACAGGACAAGCAGCCUGGCAGCUCCCGAAUGUUCUUGGGGCCGGCUCCUCACCAGGCCACAGGAAUAGAUGAAGAAUGGAUGGACUCCCUAAACUUCCCUCCUCAGGGUGACUGUAAACAGAGCUGCCCCUCCAGCCACCUGGGAGGCAGGGGAGGACAAGGGCCAGCCCAGGGUAGCUGACCUCCUGAAGCUCCCCAGUGCCUGGCUUCACCCACUGCAGCAGCCCACCUCAAGGACUGCUGAGGGUUGUCACCAGCCCAGGCAGCCCCCACCCCCCACCGUGGGACAGUGAGCCUGUGAGGCAGAGUCACACCUGUGAGCACCGGCUUUCCCUCCUGGGCUCCCAAGGCAGGGCUUUACUGACGACUUCCCCACCCCUAGACACACCACACACACACACACACACACACACACACACACACACACACACACACACACACACACACACACACACACACACACACACACACACACACACACCCGGCAUCACUCCAGUGUCAGUGCAGGACCCUGCCAAGCUCUGACUGGGUCCCGCUCCUUCCCUGCCCCCAGUCCGGCCCCCAGACUCACUUUGGCUGGGACCAGGGCGAGCAGCAUCCACCUCUCCACUGGGGCCUCCGCGGAGCAGAUCUGAGCCAGCCAGAGGCGCUGGGCAGGCGGCACGUCCUCCUGCUGCUGUCACUGUGACAGCCGCCGCCGCAUUUCCUAAUGAGUGAGCAGCUCUGGAGGACAGCGCCAGGAAGUGAAUGUGGCCCAACCCGUUUGAGACCGGGAGGCUCUUGGCAUCGCCCAGGGGUUUGGCCCCUGCUGGAGUCAGGUGAUCUGGAUGAGGAUACUAGGAGUGGAGGGGCCCCCCCUGCCUGAGGAGGAGCCCAGGGAUGGGUGCUGGAGACAAGCAGAGGGUCUCACGGUAGAGGCAGUGAUCCAGAACCUCUUUGACUGAGGCUCCCCAGAGAUGGGUCUCCUCGCCCCAACAAUAAGAGAGUCAUAAGUCCUUCAGCCUCCUGGACCCACAUCAGUGACCAUCCCCCCUCCGCCCCCUGCUCCCCUGCCAUGACAGAGGGAAGGUGGCAGAUCAGCCUCCAGAUCUGACAGUAAGGCUUUGCUGUCCAAAGUUAUGCACAAGUAUCUGGGUGAUGUGCUUAUGUACAUUUGUCCUUCAUCUUGCACUCAAAGGGGCUCAGAGCUCACAAGACCAAACACCACGGGGAUAAAGAAGGAGGGGGAAUAAAACAAACAAAGCAGAAGCACACACCUUCGUGGAAGGAAGUCCCUGAUACCAUGUAAUAGAAGUAAGUUUCAGAACAGUCUAUGUGAUUCUGUUUAUGGAAAUGAUAAUGUGUGAUCUUUUUUUGAUAAACGCUG